rfam:Morus notabilis contig7266, whole genome shotgun sequence.
AAACGAAUAUGAUGAAAACAAUGUGCGGGUGAUGAUUACAAGUUAAUUGUAGUUUCACAUGAUCAAAAUUCUACUUGCUACGUUCUUUCUGAUUCUUGU